rnacentral:rRNA from 1 species
AUGCAAGUCGUACGAGAGUUUUUAACUCAAGUGGCGGACGGGUGAGUAACACGUAAGAAUUUGCCUUUAGGAGGGGGACAACAACUGGAAACGGUUGCUAAUACCCCAUAUGCUUUCGAGUGAAAUGGAAUUUCCGCCUAAAGAGAAGCUUGCGGCUGAUUAGCUUGUUGGUGAGGUAAUGGCUCACCAAGGCGACGAUCAGUAUCUGGUUUGAGAGGAUGAUCAGACACACUGGAACUGAGACACGGUCCAGACUCCUACGGGAGGCAGCAGUGGGGAAUUUUCCGCAAUGGGCGAAAGCCUGACGGAGCAAUACCGCGUGAGGGAUGAAGGCUCAUGGGUUGUAAACCUCUUUUUUCAGGGAGGAAUUCAUGACGUGUACCUGAAGAAUAAGCAUCGGCUAACUCCGUGCCAGCAGCCGCGGUAAGACGGAGGAUGCAAGUGUUAUCCGGAAUCACUGGGCGUAAAGCGUCUGUAGGUGGUUUAACAAGUCAACUGUUAAAUCUUGAAGCUCAACUUCAAAAUCGCAGUCGAAACUAUUAGACUAGAGUAUAGUAGAGGUAAAGGGAAUUUCCAGUGGAGCGGUGAAAUGCGUAGAGAUUGGAAAGAACACCGAUGGCGAAAGCAC